rnacentral:SRP_RNA from 1 species
GCCGAGCUCAGUAACGUGGGCUUAUAACCCAAGUGGGGCAAUAAUGUGAUUGGACAUGUGGCUUGACCGUCUAGUUGGAUAGGUAGUUGCAAUAAAUUGGCCCGUCCGUUCCAAGUGGUGAGUUGGUUCACAUGGCUCGGGUUAAGGCUUGAGUUGCGUGGUUCGUAGAGUGGAGGGCAAUGCGCCAAGGAUAACGGGCCGAUGCUUCUUCGGCCCAUUUAAGCUAAACGGGCUAGCCUCUAUUGGACAAUCAUUUUU